rnacentral:tRNA from 1 species
GCCCGGGUGGUGGAAUGGUAGACACGUUGGACUUAAAAUCCAAUGGCCUGCAACGGCUGUGCGGGUUCAAGUCCCGCCCCGGGUA